AGGUUGCAAGACAUAAUAUGCUACAUCUUUUUAGCCAUGAUUUUUUGGAUUAAAUAUUCAUAAAAAAUACCUAAAUUUUCAACAAUCCAAAACCUUAUCUGUGUAGGCAAUUUUUGAUGGCUCAAUUUGCUGCUACUUUGAAACCACCUAUGUUUACUUCUCUGCAUUUUAAGAGGUGACAUUAUAAAUGUCACAUGUGGCUUGUGGCUAUGGGCGCAUGGUGGGCGGUACAACACGAGAAGACUCAAACAGUUGCUCCUGAGCAGCUGUAUAAAGAGGCCUGUGUUGUAGUCGUUGGCGCGGUCCUAAGUGUGCUGGAAGAUAAGCUCGUUGAUGUUUAUCUGCAUAUUCAGGAUGCCAAAGAGCUGUGGGAUGCGCUCGACACAAAAUUCGACGCAUCUGAUGCUAGCAGUGAUAUGUACGUCAUGGAGCAGUUCUUUGACUAUAAGAUGGUCGCAAACCGAUCUGUAGUCGAAUAAGCUCAUGAGCUACUGACUAUGGCUAAGGAACUUGAACAAUUCAAGUGUCCACUACCCGACAAAAUUGUUGUCAGGGGCAUCAUCUCCAAGCUUCCUCCCUCGUGGAGGAACUUUACUACUUCUCGAAAACACAAGAGACAGGAAAUCUCUGUGUAGAACCUGAUCGGGACUCUUGAUGUUGAGGAGAAGGCAAGAGCAAAAGAUGCUGGCCCCAAAUGCAACUCCGUGGAGGGUACAUCCACUGCCAACAUGGUUCAGAGGAACAACCAUAACCCCAACAACAGUAACAACUGGGGAAAGGGAAAGGGAUUCAGCAUGCCUGGUUCCAAGAACACUACCACUUCCAAGAAGAAGAAGAAAUGAGGCAACAAGGACAAGUUUCAUUGCUUUGUGUGCGGAGGACUCGGCCAUUGGGCAAGUAACUGCAAAGAGCGCAAAGAAGGACAUAUACGACAAAAGUUUGGCAACAACGAAAAUGCAGGCGGGCCAUCAGGUGCUCAGUGACGAUGGGGAACGACGCUCAUGCUUCUGUUCAUGGUGUUGGUUCAGUGGAUCUGAAGUUUACUUCGGGGAAGAUCGUGCAGCCGAGGAAGGUGCAGCAUGUGCCCUCCAUACAGAAGAAUCUUGUAAGUGGAUCCUUCCUUUGUAAGGACGGAUUUAAGUUAGUGUUUGAGUGCAAUAAAGUUAUUGUGUCUAAGUAUGGACAAUUUAUUGGUAAAGGUUAUGAGUGCGAAGGCUUGUUCCGCUUAUCCCUUUCGGAUUUUUGUAAUAAGGUCAUGAAUAGCAUCAAUUCUAUUAACAAUGAGUCUAAUGUUUGGCAUUCA